rnacentral:rRNA from 1 species
GAUGAAUGCUGGCGGCGUGCCUAACACAUGCAAGUCGAGCGGUAACAGGUCUAGUUUACUAGAUGCUGACGAGCGGCGGACGGCUGAGUAACGCGUGGGAAUGUGCCCCAAAGUGAGGAAUAACUGCCCGAAAGGGUAGCUAAUGCCGCAUACGAUCUUCGGAUUAAAGGAUUUAUCCGCUUUGGGAGCAGCCCGCGUUAGAUUAGGUAGUUGGUAGGGUAAUGGCCUACCAAGCCGACGAUCUAUAGCUGGUCUGAGAGGAUGAUCAGCCAGACUGGGACUGAGACACGGCCCAGACUCCUACGGGAGGCAGCAGUGAGGAAUCUUCCACAAUGGGCGAAAGCCUGAUGGAGCAACGCCGCGUGAAGGAUGAAGGCCCUAGGGUCGUAAACUUCUUUUAUGAGUGAAGAAUAUGACGGUAACUCAUGAAUAAGCACCGGCUAACUACGUGCCAGCAGCCGCGGUCAUACGUAGGGUGCAAGCAUUAUCCGGAGUGACUGGGCGUAAAGAGUUGCGUAGGCGGUUAGUAAAGUGAAUAGUGAAACCUGGUGGCUCAACCAUACAGACUAUUAUUCAAACUCACUAACUCGAGAAUGGUAGAGGUAACUGGAAUUUCUUGUGUAGGAGUGAAAUCCGUAGAUAUAAGAAGGAACACCAAUGGCGUAGGCAGGUUACUGGACCAUUUCUGACGCUAAGGCACGAAAGCGUGGGGAGCGAACCGGAUUAGAUACCCGGGUAGUCCACGCCGUAAACGAUGGAUACUAGCUGUUGGAGGUAUCGACCCCUUCAGUAGCGAAGCUAACGCGUUAAGUAUCCCGCCUGUGGAGUACGGCCGCAAGGCUAAAACUCAAAGGAAUUGACGGGUCCCCGCACAAGCAGCGGAGCGUGUGGUUUAAUUCGAGGCUACACGAAGAACCUUACCAGGGUUUGACAUGCUAGUGGUAGUGAAGUGAAAACGGAACGACCCUUCGGGGAGCUAGCACAGGUGCUGCAUGGCUGUCGUCAGCUCGUGUCGUGAGAUGUCAGGUUAAGUCCUGUAACGAGCGCAACCCUCGUCGUUAGUUAUACGUGUCUAACGAGACUGCCCGUGAUAAGCGGGAGGAAGGUGAGGAUGACGUCAAGUCAGCAUGGCCUUUAUAUCCUGGGCUACACACACGCUACAAUGGCCAGUACAAUGGGCAGCCAAGCCGCGAGGCGGAGCCAAUCCCGUAAAGCUGGUCUCAGUUCGGAUUGCAGGCUGCAACUCGACUGCGUGAAGUCGGAAUCGCUAGUAAUCGCGGAUCAGCUUGCCGCGGUGAAUACGUUCCCGGGUCUUGUACACACCGCCCGUCACACCAUGGGAGCGGGUUCUGCCAGAAGUAGUUAGCCUAACCGCAAGGAGGGCGAUUACCACGGCAGGGUUCGUGACUGGGGUG